AGUGAUGGAGACUGCAAGACGUAGGCUAUUUCUUCUUUUCUGAAUGUGACUGAUAAGUUCUUCUCUAUUGUUGCAGGUUAAAAUCAUUUGCUCCAGGGUCAUAACAAGUAAGCUGUGUCCAGCUAAUGCUAUACGCCAAAGAGAUCUGGAAAAUAAUAACACUCACUCAUGCAUCAGCUACAGAAGAAAGACCACAUGAUGAUCAUAAUCACGAUGACCUGCUAACCACUGUCAAAAAACCGUUAACUCAAACUCUAUGGCCACAUCACAAGGUCUUCAGGGCUCUCAAAGACCUUCCUUCAGGGAACAGUACAAGGAAGAAGAAGAAGAGGAAGACAAGAGAAAGCGAUGGGAAGACAAUAUCAAAGAUUAGACAGGCCUGUCAGUGAAUGAAAUUCUAUACAAGGCAAAGGACAGAGAGGAAUGGAGAAAGACGGUUGACAGAUCUUGUAUGGUGCCCCAAUGGUCCAACAAACUAAGGGAUAAGUGAAGCUGGCUAGUCAAUAGUGUUGUCAUUGCAAAGUAAAUAUUUUGUCUGAGUGAUGGCUAAAAAAAAACCCAAUCACCUAUCUAUUUCUAAAGAGAACAACUAGCCAUUCAUUUGACACUCAAUACUCUCUUUAAAAGGAAACCUAUACUGGUACAGAUAACAUCAAGUAGUUCAUCAAGAUUGUUUUUACAAAGGUUAUAGCAAUUCACUCUUGUCUGUCUGUCUGUUUGGUACAAAGGUUUUGUACAUGUUAUUCCCACACCCUUAUUUCUCCUACACCAAUUACCCCAUUAUCAAGUUGAAACUUUGCACAAUUAUUAAUUGGCAUAGACAAGACAUGAAUAAAAAAAAGUUAAUUAAGUACUGGUAAUUUAUUAUUUUAUUUGAUACCUACAAUGGAAAUUAAUCAUUCAGUAUUCAUAGAUAUGGUUAAAUAUGUAGGGUUUCAUCCUCUUAGAUAUUGAACCACACCCAUUCUAGGAUCAACUUGAACUUGAGACAUUUAUUUAGAGUACCUAACAAAAUAAAUCAAUGAAAAAAUUCACCAAUGAGUCAAUGAAUUAUCAAAUAAGGGAAAUGUUAUACAUCAUUGAGAGAUAGUUGUAAGUGCAGUGUUCUUUCCUAUAGAUACCAGUAACCUUUGUUUUUAAAAAUAGGAUUUUUUACAUUUUGCUUGUUUUUUCCUUUGCUCUGUCAUUGGGCUGAUUUAACAAUCAACAAGUUUUAAAUAAUUAUAAAUUUUUAUUGACAUCAUUUAGAAAAAAAAAAAGAAAGAAAGAAAACGUUUGAAAUUUAUAAAUAUUCCAUAACUGUAAAUUACUUUAUAAAAUAAUAUUUUAUGGCAGAUCAAAACAAGAAAAAGACUAGAUUAUGAAAAUUGUCGGUGAGUAAAAAAAACUCAGCAAAACUAAUUUUUUACUAAGCCUACUGAUGCAAGCGACUGAUAGUUUGAACAAAGAAUAUGUUUAAUGUAGACAGUACACAUUAUUAUAAUUAGAAAAAAAAAAAAACAAGGAAUGUCGACUGAGGGGGAGGGGGAAAUAAUUACAGACCAUCAUGUAGUAAUAUUAGAAUCUUUAUAGGACUGACUAAUUGAAAUCUUGAAUUAGAGUCUGUGAAACAAAGCCAUUUUAAAAACGUUUCCCUGUAACUGGUAGUAAGUUCAGUCAAGACAAUACUGUGACAAUACUGUGAAUAGAGACAGACAUUUUUAUAAAGCAGCAGUUUCUUUUAUGAACAUGUAUCAAAGAAUCACAAGGGACACUGCACUCUGACUUUUAAUCCCAUGUGCAACUAAUAUUCAUGGUCAUUUGACAGGGACUCUGGUGAGAGAGUUGAGUGUCAAAGAAAAUUUAAAACGGACCAUCUAAAUUAAUCACUAAAAAAAGUGAAAGAAAAGAAGAAAGAUUUGAAUAAAUUUCAUUCUGUGAUUAAAUAAAAGCCACAAACUGAUGCUUGUUCAAAGUUCAAAACAGAAACUUGAACAUUAGAAUCAAUCAAAUAAAAUCAUAUUAAGCAUACAUGUAAUAAACUUAAAAUGGGACAUUCAAAACUAAAAAGCCUCAUUUGAGAUUUUAAUUCUUUCUAUACAAACAACCAUUUCAAUCAAAACAAAAAUCAUUAGAACACACUAAAAAAAUAAUUACAAUUAUUUGUAAAUUAAUGUUGGUAAAAUUUUUAUACAGUAGUUCAGAAAUGUGUGUGCCUACUCAUGCUCUUUCUUAUCUUAAAAAAAUGUGUGUGUGUGUGUGCAGUGAUUAAAAACAGACAGUUGAAAGUCAAUGACAACUUUUUUUCAGUACCGAUUCUUUAAAUGUUAAAGUCGUAGUAUCGUAGUAUGUAUUAAAUGCCAAAAAGUUUGAAGGUAUACAUCUAUGUUUAUAAAAAAAUGUUAACAGCUGCAAAAUUGACUUGAAAGAGGUCUCAAAAGUCAACAUUACCAGACAAAUGCAUCCUUAAUAUCAAUAUCAAUUUCAAGCUAUUGUUAAUACUGCUACUUUCAAUUUUAACAUAUAACUAAGUUAUAGAACAAAUAUCAAUUAUCAUUGAAUAAUUGGUUUAAACUAAUGCACAACCCUUGAUUGAUAGAAUGUUGACCAAAAGUGUUAAUUAUUCUGAGCAGUUCAACAAUAAAAAAAAAGUUUUAUUAAGAGAUUUUCAUUAUGCUUAAUUGUCAUGUUCAAAUCAUUUAAAAUUAAAACAGUAUCAAAUAUUAAAAAACAGUAAUAAAAAUUCCAAUAAGGUCUAAACUCUACAAUAGUACAAUGCUGCUUAUAUAUGUUGAUAAAUUGAAAACUACACAUUAAUACUAGGAAGUAUAUACAAAAAUUGCAGUAAAAAAACACAUUCAUUUCAACCAUUAUAAAAUUGUAUUGCCAACAAACUGUACAAAUAUUAAGUUUGUGUUGAAAAAUUAACUCACUAUUUAGUGUUCGUUUGGUGAUGAAGGAUGAAAAUAUUUACACUGAGGUCUUGUAUUUAAAAUAAACACAGUUCUGGCUGCUAAUGAGCCUGAAUAUUUGUAAUACAAAAAUUAAAAUUGGCUUUUGUUUUCUCUUUUUUUUUUUUUUUUUUUAAUGUCUGACAUUUAUUCAGUUAUAAAGGUAGUAGUACAAGCCUCCUUUAGGAUGGUAGGGGAUGGUCUAAAGCUCAUUACCGGACAGAAAAUGAAUACAAUAACAGAUGUUGACGAAUUAUUGUAGAUUUCAUUGUCUUUAAGUACUGUUAUAUCAUAACAUUUAAUGACGGAAACUCUAUAUCAAUCAUGUUGUUGAUUAUGCUGCUACUAAAUUUGCAUAAAGGAAUCCAAUAUGGAAUCUCAUUUCACCAUUUUCUUCUCAAAUACUUCUGUACAAUGUUAAGUAAUUUUAAGUUUCUCUCAUCAUUUGAAGCUGGUCUAGUACAAAGACAAGAAUGUUUUGAAGAACUUGAAAGAUGGCCAACAGGUUUGCUUAUGGCUAGAAUUUUUUUUCAUGGACCAACAGCAAAAAAAAAAAGACAAAAUUGGAAAAAAAAAAAAAAAAAAAAAAAACAA